CAAUAGAGGGUUUUCACGGCGCGUCAUCAGCGCGUCAUCAAUCCGGCAGUCGCCAUGUUGGAGGUACUCGGCAAGGUAAAUAAACCGCACGCCAAGGUAAAUAAAGCGCACGCCGCAGUAGAUCCCGAAUAUCUUCGUGGAAAAUGGUAAAUUAUUGCCGUGUUUUUGGCUGUACCAAUCGGUCAGACCGCGAAAAACAUUUGGAGUAUUACAGACUGCCAAAAGUUAUAACUAAUCAAGGAGAACAAUGCCAAAAGUUGUCAGAGGAAAGGAGGCGCUUGUGGUUAGCGAAGCUGAACCAGGAUCUACGUGGCAAAAAUCUGGACAACGUCCGAAUUUGUUCGGCCCAUUUCUUGUCAGGUAAAAGGUCUGACCUUUAUCAAAAGGAUGACCCAGAUUGGGUACCAUCUGUCGGAAUGACAGGUCAGCA
ensembl:lncRNA